rnacentral:rRNA from 1 species
AGACCUGAAACCGUUUGCCUACAUACAGUGGGAGGCCUAUGGCGUCUUCGGACGCAAUGGCUGACUGCGUACCUUUUGUUUAACGGGUCCGCGAGUUACUCCUCAGCAGCAAGGUUAAGCCGACAGGUGAAGCCGGAGCGAAAGCGAGUCCAAAUAGGGCGUCAAGUUGCUGGGGGUAGACCCGAAACCAAGUGAUCUAGCCAUGGCCAGGGUGAAGCUCGGGUAAGACCGAGUGGAGGCCCGAACCGCAGCAGGUUGAAAACUGCCCGGAUGAGCUGUGGCUAGGGGUGAAAGGCCAAUCAAACUUGGAGAUAGCUGGUUCUCCCCGAAAUAUAUUGAGGUAUAGCCUCGUGCGAUUUCCAUCGGGGGUAGAGCACUGGAUGGGCUAGGGGUCCUACCAGAUUACCGAACCCAACCAAACUCCGAAUACCGAUGAGUCCAGCACGGGAGUCAGACUGCGGGCGAUAAGGUUCGUAGUCGAGAGGGAAACAACCCAGACCGCCAGCUAAGGUCCCAAAAUCCGCGCUAAGUGGGAAAGGAUGUGGGAGCGCUCAGACAACCAGGAGGUUGGCUUAGAAGCAGCCACCCUUUAAAAAGUGCGUAAUAGCUUACUGGUCAAGUGAGCCCGCGCCGAAAAUGUAACGGGGCUCAAGUGCGGUACCGAAGCUGCGGGUGCCCGACACUUGCGAGUGUCGCGCACGGUAGGGGGGCGUUCCAGUUGCCUGUGAAGCCCGACGGAGACGACGGGUGGAGGUCCUGGAAGUGCCUAUGCGGACAUGAGUAACGAUCAAGUCGGUGAGAAACCGACUCGCCGUAUGCCCAAGGGUUCCUGAGUAAAGUUAAUCUUCUCAGGGUUAGUCGGUCCCUAAGCCGAGGGCGAAAGCCGUAGGUGAUGGGAAACGGGUUAAUAUUCCCGUACCACUAGGCGAACGUUCGACCGAAGGGGGGACGGAGAAGGGUAGCUAGGCCGGGUGUUGGACGUCCCGGUUCAAGCCUGUAGGCGGGUGGCGUAGGCAAAUCCGCGCCGCCAUUCAACGCCGAGAGGUGAUGUCGAGAGCCCUAGGCUCACAAAGCUAGUAAUCCCAUGCUUCCUAGAAAAGCCUCGUAGGGAGUUCGUCUGGUGACCGUACCGCAAACCGACUCAGGUGGGCGGGCAGAGCAUGCCAAGGCGCUUGAGAGAACCCUGGUUAAGGAACUCGGCAAAUUGACACCGUAACUUCGGGAGAAGGUGUGCCUCGGACGGUGAAUGAACUUGCUUCAGGAGCCGGCUGAGGUUGCAGAGAGCAGGGGGUAGCGACUGUUUACUAAAAACACAGGACUCUGCGAAGUCGACAAGACGACGUAUAGGGUCUGACGCCUGCCCGGUGCCGGAAGGUUAAGGGAAUCUGUCAGCCUUCGGGCGAAGCAGUGAACCGAAGCCCCGGUAAACGGCGGCCGUAACUAUAACGGUCCUAAGGUAGCGAAAUUCCUUGUCGGGUAAGUUCCGACCUGCG